GAGUUUGAUCUUGGCUCAGAUUGAACGCUGGCGGCAUGCCUUACACAUGCAAGUCGAACGGCAGCACGGGAGCUUGCUCCUGGUGGCGAGUGGCGAACGGGUGAGUAAUGCAUCGGAACGUAUCCUGGAGUGGGGGAUAACGUAGCGAAAGUUACGCUAAUACCGCAUAUUCUGUGAGCAAGGAAAGCGGGGGACCUUCGGGCCUCGCGCUCUUGGAGCGGCCGAUGUCGGAUUAGCUAGUUGGUGAGGUAAAGGCUCACCAAGGCGACGAUCCGUAGCAGGUCUGAGAGGAUGAUCUGCCACACUGGAACUGAGACACGGUCCAGACUCCUACGGGAGGCAGCAGUGGGAAUUUUGGACAAUGGGGCAACCCUGAUCCAGCCAUGCCGCGUGAGUGAAGAAGGCCUCGGUUGUAA
rnacentral:rRNA from 1 species